rnacentral:rRNA from 1 species
CAGUAGCCGCGGGAAUACGGAGGAUCCGAGCGUUAUCCGGAAUUAUUGGGUUUAAAGGGUGCGUAGGCGGAUAGAUAAGUCAGUGGUGAAAGACGGUGGCUCAACCAUCGCAGUGCCGUUGAUACUGUUUAUCUUGAAUAUGGAUGAGGUAGGCGGAAUGUGGCAAGUAGCGGUGAAAUGCAUAGAUAUGCCACAGAACACCGAUUGCGAAGGCAGCUUACCAAGGCAAAAUUGACGCUGAGGCACGAAAGCGUGGGGAUCGAACAGGAUUAGAUACCCCUGUAGUCCCUGUCUCUUAUAC